rfam:Salmo salar isolate Sally breed double haploid chromosome ssa14, whole genome shotgun sequence.
AAUGCACCAAUUUGUAAGUCGCUUUGGAUAAGAGCAUCUGCUAAAUUACGUAAA